GCAUAGCCGUAAACACAGAUAUUCAAUGUACAUUUAAUAUCCGCCCGGGUACUAUAAGCAUAAGCUCAAAACCCAAAGGACCUGGCGGUGCUUUAAAACCACCUAGAGGAGCCUGUUCUAGAACUGAUAAUCCCCACUCAACCUCACCCUUCCUUGCCAAUACCGCCUAUAUACCGCCGUCGUCAGCCUACCCUGUGAAGGCCCAACAGUGAGCAAAAUUGGUACAGCCCCAAACGUCAGGUCGAGGUGUAGUAAAUGGAAGGGGAAGAAAUGGGCUACAUUCGUUAACUAACGCACUACGAAUUAUAUGUUGAAACACAUCUUUGAAGGAGGAUUUAGCAGUAAGAGAAAAAUAGAAUAUUUCUCUGAAACCGGCCCUAAAGCACG
rnacentral:rRNA from 1 species